AGUAGUAUUCAAUUCAGACCUCAGUAACUCAUCCAUCUUGCAGAACUCAGUAGCAUUCUGUCAGUUGAUAAAAUUCAGUAGUAUUCCAUAAUUCAAUGGAACUUAGUGAACUCAGUUUAGUCAGUAAAAACUAUACCAUCAGUAAUAGCUCAGUCAUGCCUAGGUGAACUAGGAAAACCAGUUCAAUGUCUAUUCAAUUGGGAGUAGGAUUCAGUACCGAGUGAACCCAGGGAUGAGGGCUCACCUGUUAGCCAGUAGAGGGUGUGAUCCUUAGAAGCAAUCCUUAUAUUUCAGAACUACUUAGCUAGCAUAGGUUGAUAUGCACCCCUACGAGUCUAGGGACUAUACAUCUCCUAUAAGUUUUUCUUAUAGGAGGGGUUGAUGUAAGAGCUCCCUAUCAAAGAGGAUUUACUCACAGCUUGUCUUUACCCAUGGUAUGGUGCUGAUGCAAUUUUAGCUAGGGUUACAGGUUGGACCCUACCCGUUUAGACUCGGGGCAUAUUGGUUAGAUGAUUACCUCCUAUAGUUAUAAUUUCAGAUUUAGUCUCAGUAGUUAAACUAGGUUCAGUUCUAUAGAUAUCAAGACUGUCAGAUACAUCCGCUCAGCUAAGUACAGAACUCAUCUAGUUCUAUCAGAGUCAGGACUGUCAGAUAAAGUCAUCCAGUUCAGUCUAGAACUAAGAUAGUUGUUCAGAUUCAGGAUUGUCAGAUACAGUCACCUAGUACAGUAAAGAACUCAGAUAGUAUUUUUUAGUAUAAGUAUACGCAAUUAUCGAUUAUAAAUAAUAUAUCUAGUAUUGUCAGAACCCCAGUUCCAGUUUAUAUUUUCAUACAUGUAUUUCUCACACGCAC
rnacentral:lncRNA from 1 species